CAGUUUGGGAGCAACUGUUGACUCCAUUAUACAACAAAACUCUCUCCUCAGACAACUGUAAUUUGACCUUAGAUGGUCACUUCAGCAAACUCUCCAUGGAGAUAUGCACUGACUACAGGGAGAAGCCAGGCCUGAGUCUAAGAACAGCCUAGAUGGAAACAGCCCGUGAGAAGCAGCAGAGUUUCCUGUACAGUUCAGUCAAAGGCCAGUUCUGUUCUGUAAGUCGUUCUGUAAACAUCUUGAAUUCA
ensembl:antisense Gm37650 predicted gene, 37650